CAUUAUAAUUAAAGAGAAAUCGGUUUUUCGUUGGAUUUUGUUUCUACAUUAAAACUGGAUUAUGUUAGCGUUUAAGUUUAUAUAAAAGAAGUUUUUAUUUCUUUAAAAAACGAACUAAAUUUUACUAUGCAUAAAGUUAGUUAUUUUAAAGAAUUGAAUUAAAUAUCGUUCAUCUUUACAAAAAUUAGUUUCACGAAUAAUUUUCAUGUCACAAUAUUAUAAUGUUGACAUCUUCAUUUUUACUGUUUUACUUCCUUGACAAAGAAGUAAACAAGGAACUUGUGGCAUAAAUUCUUGGCAACAUUACAAAAUUACAACCCGUAUAAAUAUAUUUUUUUUCAAUGCAAAUUAAAAGAUAACUUUUCGCACAGCUACUCGUCAAACAAAUAAAAUGAUGUAUGCAAUUGUUGCCUUUGAUGAGGAAAAUAACACUGACUAUCUACCUCUAAUUUGGCUUGUUAAUGCGAUGAGCGAAAAUGUUCUGUCUAUAAUAUCUUCAAGGAAAUCAACAGAUUUUUAUUGGCCACGCUGGACAAAUAUGAAAAAAAUUGACGCAGCAAAAUCAAUCUGUCAAGAACCAGAAGUUGGUUGGCUGCGAUUUUCUGGAAGAAUUUUGUCCACUGCUGACAUAUGAAGUUCAAUAAAAGUUUUGAAGACCUUAAUAAAUCCCCAGAACAAGUAUUUAUCAAGCCAGAUGUUCCUUUAAGUAUAUAUUUCAGUUCUUAUUUUCUUGUUGCAGUAGUAAGGUAGUAUCUUAGGAAUAGCAACAUUUUUAACUGUUUUUUAUAGUUCCUCGAUGUUCUAACACUUCAGAUGAUGUUGAUUUCAAUAAAAAUUCAUCUUUAACAGGUUCACAUUGGCUGUUGGCAAUAUUUGUCUAGUGGUGUGAGUUGACUACAGAACGUCUCCAAUUUUAGUUAAUGACUCCAAUUAAAUAAACUCCUUUAAUGGCAGGUCUUAUUGAAAAAGAUAUUGUAUGAAGAAAAAAGUGCUUAAAGAAGUGGUUUUCACAAAGAUUUUAAUUCAUGAUUACGAUACGAUUCACGAUUAAAGAAUAAAAAUGUAAUUUUAAUGUGCUUUUUGUUUGAAAUAAAUAAGCAUAUAAUAUGAA